rnacentral:tRNA from 1 species
GAAAUGUCAACCCAAUUAAACUUCUAAUUUAAUUUAUAGUAAAUUACAUUUAUUAACAUUUCU